ACAAAAAGAAAAUAUUUUUUAAAGGGGCUGAGGAUAUAGCUCUAGUUAAGAACCCCUGUGUUCAAUCCCCAGUACCAAAAAGAGAAAAAAAAAGAUUAAAAAUAGACACAAAAACUUUUAUGAAAAAUAACUCCCUGUUGACUCUUCUCCAUGUUUGUACAAGCAAAUUCCUGGAAUUUCAUGCUUAUAGCAGUUGUUCCUAAACCUUUGUGUGUAUCAAAAUCACUUAGAAGGCUUGUUAAAACAGAUUACACAGGAUAUGGUGGCAAAUGCCUAUAAUCCAGUAACUCCAGAGGCUGAGGCAGGAUGAUCACAAGUUUGGGGCCAGCCUUGGCAAUUAUGGAGGCCCUCAGCACUUUCAUGAAAUCCUGUCUCAAAAUUAAAAAGGGUUGGGGAUGUGACUCAGUGGUUAAGCACCCCUGGGUUCAAUCCAUAGUACCCCUCACCGCCCCCCCCCAAAAAAAAAAAACACCAUACAUUGCUGAUCCUAUCCCCAAUCCCAGAAUUUCUGAUUCUGCAGGUUUGGGGUAAGGUGUUAGAAUUGGCAUUUCUAACACAGUUAUAGGUGAUGUUGAUAUUGAUGCUCAGCCACCACCUUUGAGAAUUCCGGCUCUCCAGUGGAUAAAUGGCAUCUUGUAGAUCUAGAAGAGCUCAUACUAAACUGUUUCGUGGACACUAAGAACUAGAAAUUAUUUGUAUUAGCCCCUAAGUUAAUGCAGAAUCACCUCUUAUGCUUCUUAUUGAUUCAUUAUUAACUUUUAGUUCCAAAUACUCCCCUUUUUGCCUAAUCUAUGAAAAUGUAGCUGGGCCCUGUAAAUAUUUUUCCUUUACAAAGUGGUAUGAUGUUAAGUUUUGUCAGUAGAGGGUGCUGGGAGAAAAGAUCUUACUUUUUGAUUCCUUAGUGUUUUCUUGCUAGUCGCCUGUAGCAAGCAUGACUUCUUCAGGUUUUAAUUCCUAGGAUGUAGGCCACAGACCCUCAGGGCCAGCAGCUGUAGUGGAGUGCCUCCUGAGAGAUACCUGAGCACUUUUCCAUGGUACCCUAAGAGGGUAGAUUUUCCCCAUAUUCCAGAGAAUGGAUUUUUACCAGAGGAUUUUACCAGAGCUACUUACCUACCAUUCAGUAAUCCAUGGCAGUGCCAUCUCCAACAAGGCCUAGUUUUCUUUAUUGAGGGCAAGUCAGGCAAAGGGGAAGGCUCUUGGGUGAUCACUCUUCUUAUCCUUGGAGGGUGAGGCAGUUUCUUUUUUGCCUUCUAUAGAGUUUUCUUUACUUCUUACUAGCCAAGGCUUUUUUUAUAUUUUUAUUUAUGUAACAAAUAUCUAAUUAUAUUUAUUAAAUCACUUAUGUGUGUUUAUGUUUUAUAUUUUUUAUAUUUUAUACAUUGUACAUAUACUUACAUAAAUAUAUUGG
rnacentral:lncRNA from 1 species